rnacentral:lncRNA from 1 species
CUAAAUGAUUCUAUGGUUCUGUGAUUCUAUAUAACUGGACAAGGCCCUAAACAAGCCCUGGUUUGAGUGGUUAUUGAGCCAGAUAACCUCCAAAGGUUGCCUUCUAACCAAAAAAUUAUUCUGUGAUUCUGUGACUAAGACAAUGCUUCUAGCAUGUUCUAGUAAAUUCUGUAGCAAAUAAUGGUAUUUUAUUUGGCUACGCUGGUGAAUUAUUUUUAUUUCUGCACUGAGGUUUUCACAUAGAAUUGUUGUUUUAAGUCCCUGAGCAGUAGAUGAACAGCACACUUGUGUGCUGGGUAGGAGGUGUUCGGCCCUUCUGUGAAUCUCGGAACUGAUGCAAGAUGGAAACAGGUAUCAGAAAUUUAUAUCUUCGUUCAUUUUUUUCCUCUCAGGUCAUAAGAGAAGACAGCCUGACAGGUGUCAAGAAUUCCAAUGUUCAGGAUGCUGCUGCCAGGAACAUUCUCCCGUCAGGCAAAGCACAGAGUAGUCCCCCAGCAACCAGUCCAGUAUUUCAAGACCCAAGAGAGCUGCUGAAAGCAAUCCCCGCCUCAAACACCUUUGUUCCUAAUGUGUUAAAUGAGGACAAUGCUGCCUCUAACCAUGAGGACCUGCUGAUUCCAGCUAAUCUGGCUCCGGCUGAGGAGGCUGCUGUAUCAAAGAGCCCUCCAGAUGACCAGGACGUUUCCUUAACAUCAUUGACAGAGAAUCUAAUUGACUUUACUGAAGCCACACCUCGGGUAAAUGUAUUUCAAAACCAAACUUAUUCCUUCACACGUACAGUGGUUUUUACUCAUAGACUGUCCUCUGGUUUUAGUAUCUCUCCACCAGGCUUGGAUUUGCUGCGGCAGAGUGAAGUGGUGAUUGACCUGGAUCACUGCAUAUAUGCACCCCUACUUGAAGGGUGGCUGGCAUGGGGUUGUAGACCCUACACCUUUGUAAUGGAAGUGAAGGAACCCGAAGAGUUAACUUGUAGCUGUGCCACAAGAGCCUGUAGUCUUACUUUAGUACACCUGCAAGUACCAGCCUGCUUCUCAGGCUUUUGGGUAUAUAUAAUACUUCAGAAAUUAUAUGUAAAUGUGUAUAUAUGCACACAGACAUUUAUAUGUGUGUGUAUAUAUAUGUGA